UACCUGCAGCUCAAGUGGUGGCCGCUAUUAUUGGGCCUAAAACGUCCGUAGCCGGUUUGGUAAAUGCCUGGGUAAGUCGUGUAGCUUAACUAUACGAAUUCUGGGUAGACUGUCAAACUUGAGACCGGGAGAGGCUAGAGGUACUCUUGGGGUAGAGGUGAAAUUCUGUAAUCCUAGGGGGACCACCAGUGGCGAAGGCGUCUAGCUAGAACGGGUCUGACGGUGAGGGACGAAGCCCUGGGGCACAAACCGGAUUAGAUACCCGGGUAGUCCAGGGUGUAAACGCUGCUUGCUUGAUGUUAGUUGGGCUCUGAGCCCAACUAGUGUCGGAGAGAAGUUGUUAAGCAAGCUGCCUGGGAAGUACGGUCGCAAGGCUGAAACUUAAAGGAAUUGGCGGGGAGCACAGCAACGGGUGGAGCGUGCGGUUU
rnacentral:rRNA from 1 species